GAUGAAGAACGCAGCGAAAUACGAUACGUAAUGUGAAUUGCAGAAUUCAGUGAAUCAUCGAGUCUUUGAACGCACAUUGCGCCCCCUGGUAUUCCGGGGGGCAUGUCUGUCCGAGCGUCAUUGCUGCCCUCAAGCACGGCUUGUGUGUUGGGCCUCCGUCCUCCUCCCGGGGGACGGGCCCGAAAGGCAGCGGCGGCACCGCGUCCGGUCCUCGAGCGUAUGGGGCUUCGUCACCCGCUCUUGUAGGCCCGGCCGGCGCUUGCCGACACAUCAAUCUUUUUUCCAGGUUGACCUCGGAUCAGGUAGGGAUACCCGCUGAACUUAAGCAUAUCAAUAAGCGGAGGA
rnacentral:misc_RNA from 1 species